ACGGGUGGCAGCAGUAGGGAAUAUUGGUAAUCUGGGAAACCGGGAACCAGCAACGCCGGUGCGCGAUGAAGGCUUCGGGUUGUAAAGUGCUUUUAAAGGGAUGAGGAAGGACAGUACCUUUAGAAUAAGCCUCGGCUAACUACGUGCCAGCAGCCGCGGUAAAACGUAGGAGGCGAGCGUUAUCCGGAUUUACUGGGCGUAAAGCGUGUGCAGGCGGUUUGAUAAGUUGGAUGUGAAAGCUCCUGGCUUAACCGGGAGAGGUCGUUCAAAACUAUCAGACUAGAGAGUGGUAGAGGGAGAUGGAAUUCCGCGUGUAGUGGUGAAAUGCGUAGAUAUGCGGAGGAACACCAGUGGCGAAAGCGGUCUCCUGGCCCAUUUCUGACGCUCAGACACGAAAGCUAAGGUAGCAAAUCAGAUUAGAGACCUGAGUAGUCCUAGCUGUAAACAUUGUCCGUUAGCUCUUCUCAAUUUAUUGGGAGGGAUGUUACUAACGCGUUAAACGGAUCGCCUGGGGAGUAUAGCCGCAAGGCCGAAACUUAAACGAAUUGGCGGGGAGGCGCACAACCAGUGGAGCAUGUGGUUCAAUUCGAUACAAAGCGAUGAACCUUACCUGGGCUUGAAAUGCACCUGCAGGCUCCUGAAAGGGAGAGUCCUUCAAGGGUGGUGCACAGCUGUUGCAUGGCUGUCGUCAGCUCGUGACGUGAGUUGUUCUCUUAAGUGAGGUAACGAGCGCAACCCCCAUUCUGUGUUAUCGUGUCACAGAAGACUGCCUAGCAUUAUUUUGUUAGGAGGAAGGAGGGGACGACGUCAAGUCAUCAUGAUGCUUAUGUCCAGGGCUACACACAUCCUACAAUGGGCUAUAACAGAGGGUUGCAAGACCGCAAGGUGGAGCUAGUCCCUAAACUAGCCCUCAGUUGGGAUUCAGGCUGAAACUCGCCUGCAUGAACCCGGAAUUGGUAGUAAUCGCACAUCAGCAGCGUGCGGUGAAUACGUUCUC
rnacentral:rRNA from 1 species